rnacentral:rRNA from 1 species
UGGGGAAUUUUGGACAAUGGGCGAAAGCCUGAUCCAGCAAUGCCGCGUGUGUGAAGAAGGCCUUCGGGUUGUAAAGCACUUUUGUCCGGAAAGAAAUCCUUGGCUCUAAUACAGUCGGGGGAUGACGGUACCGGAAGAAUAAGCACCGGCUAACUACAUGCCAGCAGCCGCGGUAAUACGUAGGGUGCAAGCGUUAAUCGGAAUUACUGGGCGUAAAGCGUGCGCAGGCGGUUUGCUAAGACCGAUGUGAAAUCCCCGGGCUCAACCUGGGAACUGCAUUGGUGACUGGCAGGCUAGAGUAUGGCAGAGGGGGGUAGAAUUCCACGUGUAGCAGUGAAAUGCGUAGAGAUGUGGAGGAAUACCGAUGGCGAAGGCAGCCCCCUGGGCCAAUACUGACGCUCAUGCACGAAAAGCGUGGGGAGCAAAACAGGAUUAGAUACCCUGGUAGUCCACGCCCUAAAACGAUGUCAACUAGUUGUUGGGGAUUCAUUUCCUUAGUAACGUAGCUAACGCGUGAAGUUGACCGCCUGGGGAGUACGGUCGCAAGAUUAAAACUCAAAUGAAUUGACGGGGUCAUAGCUGUUUCCU